rnacentral:rRNA from 1 species
GACGAACGCUGGCGGCGUGCUUAACACAUGCAAGUCGAACGGAAAGGCCCUGCUUUUGUGGGGUGCUCGAGUGGCGAACGGGUGAGUAACACGUGAGUAACCUGCCCUUGACUUUGGGAUAACUUCAGGAAACUGGGGCUAAUACCGGAUAGGAGCUCCUGCUGCAUGGUGGGGGUUGGAAAGUUUCGGCGGUUGGGGAUGGACUCGCGGCUUAUCAGCUUGUUGGUGGGGUAGUGGCUUACCAAGGCUUUGACGGGUAGCCGGCCUGGGAGGGUGACCGGCCACAUUGGGACUGAGAUACGGCCCAGACUCCUACGGGAGGCAGCAGUGGAGAAUAUUACACAAUGGGCGGAAGCCUGGUGCAGCAACGCCGCGUGCGGGAUGACGGCCUUCGGGUUGUAAACCGCUUUCGCCUGUGACGAAGCGUGAGUGACGGUAAUGGGUAAAGAAGCACCGGCUAACUACGUG